CUACGGGGUGCUCCAGUGAGGAAUAUUGCACAAUGGGGGGAACCCUGAUGCAGCAACGCCGCGUGGAGGAUGACGCAUUUCGGUGUGUAAACUCCUUUUAUAUGUCAAGAAAAUGACGGUAGCAUAUGAAUAAGCGCCGGCUAACUCCGUGCCAGCAGCCGCGGUAAUACGGAGGGCGCAAGCGUUACUCGGAAUCACUGGGCGUAAAGGACGCGUAGGCGGGUUGAAAAGUCAGGUGUGAAAGCCUACAGCUUAACUGUAGAACUGCACUUGAAACUCUCAAUCUAGAGUAUGGGAGGGGCAGAUGGAAUUAGUGGUGUAGGGGUAAAUCCGUAGAUAUCACUAGGAAUACCUAAAGCGAAGGCGAUCUGCUGGAACAUUACUGACGCUAAGGCGUGAAAGCGUGGGGAGCAAACAGGAUUAGAUACCCGAGUAGUC
rnacentral:rRNA from 1 species